rfam:Nitrosococcus oceani ATCC 19707, complete genome.
GCGCCCGUAGCUCAGUUGGAUAGAGUACCUGGCUACGAACUAGGGGGUCGGGAGUUCGAAUCUCUCCGGGCGCG